UACAGAGGGUGCGAGCGUUACUCGGAAUUACUGGGCGUAAAGCGUGCGUAGUCGGUUAUCUAAGUCGGGUGUGAAAUCCCCGGGCUCAACCUGGGAAUUGCAUUCGAUACUGGAUAGCUAGAGUUCGGCAGAGGGAAGCGGAAUUUCGGGUGUAGCGGUGAAAUGCGUAGAUAUCCGAGGGAACAUCAGUGGCGAAAGCGGCUUCCUGGACCAGAACUGACGAUCAGGCACGAAAGCGUGGGGAGCAAACAGG
rnacentral:rRNA from 1 species